GUCUAAUGUGAAAAGUUACCGUACCCGUAAAAUUUUGAGUUAAUUGUAACUAGGCGCUUAAAAGUAGGUGCGCAUGCGUGAAGGGAGUUUACUAGCGAGUCUGGAAAUUUCCAUUGCCUCGUCAUUCAUUAUAUGCGAGGACUCGGAUUUUUGUGGAUAUUCUUUAUAGGGGGGAAUUUAGCUUGAAUCGUAAUGCUUCCCCAUGAAGUUUCAGAAGGAUACAUAAAGAAAUGAGCCGAGGAAAACAUAUGACGCAGUUGGGACUUUUUUUUUAAUAGCUUGGCGGAAGGAUUACUGCGGAAAAUCGUAGUACUGCCACGCUGCUCUGUGUGUCUAUAUAAGGAGACUGCCCUCAAGGAGAUCUGGUAGAAUGCGGACGGGACGUGAGAGGAAGAAAGAAGUGGAUGGCCGUGGAGCUGGCGAUGCGUAGCUGCCUCAGUCGUACUCCAGGAGCCGUCAUGGAUCUGUCAAGAGAAGAUAAUCGUAUGAAGUGUGCAGGAACAUGAUCCAUCCAUAGGGAAGAAUGUAUUGGCGUGCUCAGAAGCCCUGCCUAGGAGUUGAAUCUAAAAUUCCGUCAGGAUACAGGUGUAUAUGGACAUGUUUAUCUUAACGGAGGUGAAGUGUUGAGUUAUGUAGGCCAGUGUUUUCCAACCAGGGUGCCUCCGGCUGUUUCAAAACUACAACUCCCAGCAUGCCCGGACAGCCUUUGGCUGUCCGGGCAUGCUGGGAGUUGUAGUUUUGAAACAGCCGGAGGCACCCUGGUUGGAAAACACUGAUGUAGACUGUAAAGGGUGGGGCUGUGCCUAUUGUUUGUGAAAUGAAUGUUAGUUACCACUAGGUGGCAGUAUAUGCUCCAGCUAUUAAAGGGAAAACUGUCAGCUUGCUCCACCUGCAUUAACCAGUGGUACUUGCUGGUAGUGUAGGGGACGCUGAUUAGUUUCAUGUCUACCAUGCCCGGAUCUGCCCCGCCUUUCGGCAGAAUUAUCGAUUUUCUGUAUAUGCUAAUUAGGUGCUAACUGGCACAGGUGGGGUUACUGGCACUCUGAUGUCAGCACCGCCCAGCCCAUUGAUAUUCCUCCCCCUCCCUCCGCCUCUUCAUGACAGGGGUGGAAUAUUAAUGAGCUGGGCAGCGCUGCAGACAGGCGGUGCUGAUGUCAGAGUGCCAGUUAGCACCUAACUAGCAUAUCCAGAAAAUCAGGAUUUCUGCCAAAAGGCGGGGCAGAUCUGGGCAUGGUAGGUAUCAAACUCAUCGGUGUCCCCUGCACUACCAGCAUGUACUGCUGGUUAAUGCAGGGGGGAGCAAGCUGACAGUUUUCCUUUUUAAAAGGACAUUAGAUGAGCGCUUUCUGGGGGGAGGGGGGCAGAGGGCAUUGAGUUUUCUCCUAAUUUUAUUUUACAGGUAUAAUGAACUAUUUGAAGUCAAAAAAUCUCCAUCAGCAGUUCUUUAAUCUAAAAUGUUCAAGUAACAUGCUAAAGAAGUCUUUCUCAGGCAUCUGAUACUGGUAUAUAACACUUUCGGUAUUGGGGUUACUUUGAGGGUUCCAAUUUUAGGUGGGAGUAAACUGCUUAGUUUCUGCAUCUAACCCCCCCCCCCCCCCCCUGAACUGCUCCUGUUCCCAGGUUGUGUGUAGUACUGCAGCUCUGUCACAUUAACUUCACCAAAGCUGAGCUCCAAUACCAGAUACAACCUAUGGACAGUAGUGAGUUUUUUUUUUUUUAUCCUUAAAAGAAACGGCAUUUUCCAAAACCUUAAUGGGGAGUGGCUAGCUACAUGUAGGGUGUAUCAAAUCACUGUGGGUGUGGGGCGGGGUUAUAAAUGGAUAUUUUUAGAUUCUUUUCAGAAUACACCCAUAUGUCAAGCAGCUACAUGUUCCUGCCAAGAACUACAGUGGAUCCUUAGAUGAUGCUUUCCUUAUGUGAUGUACGAUGGCCCUAUGUGUUACCGUUAAGAGCUUGGGUCCAACUGGUUUUUAAAGGCAUUUGACGCUGGUAUAUUACAUUAUUUUGAUAUCUAGUUUACUUUUAGGUUCCUGGUCUAUGUGGGGUUACCCAGUUUUAGCUAUUGCCCAAUCUAAAAGGGGGAGGUGGGGGUAAUGGUCUGUAGUUUUUUCCACAUAGGGGCGUAGUUAACUAAAUAGGGAAGGUGGUAUAGCCAUUUACUGUGGGUGGUGGGAGGGGGUUAUAAAUGGAUAUUUUUAGAUUCUUUACAGAACACUCCCACAUGUCAAGUGCUACCACGGUUCCUGCCAAGAACUACAGUGGAUCCUUAGAUGAUGGUUACCUUAGCCUGUGAUGUCCAGUGUACCGUUAGGAGCUUGAGUCCCUACCUUGUGUGCCAGAGGUGUUCCCUACAUGUGCCAGUGGCUUUCUGCAUCCGAAAGGCCCAUUACUACUGUCCAGUCAGUGGAAGGACUCCUUGGUUCCUGCCGAUUCAAUCAUCAUAUGUGAUAGCCUUGGGCCCCUAAUAAAGAUGAGCAUCUAGAGUGCUCUUAAAAGCUUCAGUCGGUAACCAUCUGAGCAAGAGGUCUUCCCUACAUGUGCCUCUAUGGUAUUCUUCAUCCCAAAGUUCUGUUACUACCAGUCAGUGGAAGGACUCCUUGGUGCUUGCCAACAUCGUAUACCCCAUCCCCUAAUAAAGAUGAGCACCUAGUGCGCCCCCCCUCCUACUUGUCUUAGCCCUUUAAGGGCUUGCUUAGUCUGAUGAACUUAAUUCUUUACGUCUUGAAGAUCUAAUCUAUCCAGUUAAGAACUCUUGUGUAAGUGUGAUACCUGAUACUGUUACCCACGUCAAGAACUCGUGCCAAAGCAAUAUCUUAAAUUCCUAAUUUCAAAGUAUAAUGUGUAACAUUCAUAUUUUAGAAAAGUGACAGUUUUGUAUUUGGGGGGGAAUCCUGUGAAUAUCAUGUAAUUUUCAGUUAAUUGAUGACUUUUGCUGUAAUGUGUGCUACAUAUGUGCCAAGCCUAUAGCUUUAUUGUGCCAGAUGAGCAUAUAGUUUGUAUGUAUGUUUUCCAAAUCUGUGCUUUGUACGUGUUGAGCUCUUAUUUGAUCCUAUCUGCCUCCUGUGGUUAAUUCUAAGAUUUCAGAGGUGAGGUCAAUACGUGUCAGUGUUUACAGGGAAUUUAGAUGUGUCUUUAUAGAUGAAAAAAUGUGAUGGUGUAUUUGCUGAAUGAGGUAUCAAAUGAUAAACUCCCAUUUAACUGCACAAUAUUCAUAUAACACAAAUACAACAUUUAAAAGGAGGAAGUCCAGUUAACUCUACUGCCAGAAAUAACAGAAACUCAUCAAAUACUUUAUUUACAACUACAAAUAACCCUGGAACAUGCUUCGGACCAGCUACAUAAGAAUUUACACUUCCCAUGAGGAGUUCUCUACAACCAAUAAGGAAGCUUCCCCGCUUAAAAAAAAUAAAAUAAAAACACAUUCUUCAGUGAGCAGAAUCACUAGCAAUAACAAAUGAUGGCACUCCCACACAAACGGCGCUUAAGUAGGAUCCCAUUCUUUCAUAAAACACCUGAAACUGAAGUGCAACAUGACUCAAUGAAAGUAUAUCUGUUAAAUGUUUGUGGUAUAUAAAAUCCUUCUCACUGGGUAACACCACUUUAAGUAAUACAAUACAGUAUCAAUUAAUACCUUAUUCAUCAAACAUGCAAUAAAUGCUAUGCACUAAAACUGUCAAAUAUAAAAUCUAUAUACUAAUCUUAAAUGGUCACACCAGCAUAUACAACCACAGAUCGUUACAACACUACAAUUUCUUCUGUUAACCAAAGCUCCUAUCUCUGGCUGAACAGAUGCGGUUGUGUCAUGUCAUAAAUGAUGCAACCAUAUAAUAGCACUAUGGAACGUUAUGUAAAAGUAAUAUAUAUAUAUAUAAUAUUAAAAAAAAAAGCUAAGAACUUGUUAUAAAUCGUGUUACCUUACGAUGAUUCAGUGCCAUGUCUUGUUCUGAGACGCUUUGGUUUCUGCAGUAGUUGAAGUGUAAUGCUGGGGUUACAUUAUAGGAUGAUGGUAGUUUAAAAUGCAUCUAUGUAGGUGAAUGAGUGGCUUUUGUUUGCGUACUAUUAUGACAGCUAGUUCAAAGGGUCUUCCUUUUAUAGAAACGUUUACACGAUUAAGGCUAUAAAGGUGCUUCAAACUGUACUUGAGGUUCAAGUGAAAUGUUUUAUAUUGACUAAUUUACUAUUUUCAGCUCUUAAUAAAAGCUCAGUUUUUUUUAUUGAAAUCCA